UCCCCGGUGGCUCAAGCGGUAAAGCGUCUGCCUCCAAUGCAGGAGACCCAGGUUCAGUCCCUGGGUCGGGAA
rnacentral:tRNA from 1 species